rfam:Ixodes scapularis strain Wikel colony gcontig_1107729195680, whole genome shotgun sequence.
GCCUCGGUGGCUCCGAGGUGAGAGCGCCGGCCUAGGAUACCCAUGUGGCGGGUUCGAAUCCCGGCCGAGGUC